AGGAGGACAGAGGGCGACUGAGGGGUGGAGGUGUGGACUGUAUAUUGCACAGGUAACUAACCUAGUACAACCAUCCGGAAACAUUCUGUGUCGGUGCGCAGCGGUAAUCAUUCUGGUAAUUGCGAGGCUUAGAGACAGAACCCUGGCAGUUAAAAUGGUGCAGCAGGAAUGCACAGAGGAGUUGAUUGAUGUAAACUGUCUAGCAACGGAUGCUGAACAACACUGUCAACAUGGACCCACAACACUGAGAGAAAAGGAGGCAGAGUAAACAGGAGGAGAACAGAGAGGGCGACUGAGGGGUGGAGGUGUGGGUGAGAGAAUGCACAGCACUUCUAUUUCAGGCAUUGACCACCUGAUAACAACAGUGCUGAGUUGAUGGAAAUAUAUGGACGUCAUUUGUACCAGAGCAUGAGCAACAGAUACACCUCUGUACUAUAUAGGCAGAAUGUGGUGCUCAGGGUUAAUGGCUGUCGAGCCUGUUGUGGGCUAGGAUUUCCAGGGAAGAUGGAAAGCUAAGGCUUGUUUACUGAAAAACAACAAGCCCAUGGGAUUUUAUUUAUGGAUCAAAUGCAAUAUAUCUCAGUUGUUUCUAGAUAGCAGUGUCCCUGCUUUAUUUUUCUAUUCAGAAGACUAUUCAAAUAAUGUAUCCACCCAGUUGAUGUGUGUCCAGGCCAUGAAAUAGACAUAAAGCAAUAAGAAGGCCUGGUAGCUGGGUGUAAGUAACUAGAUCUACAUAGUAACAUGUCUAUUAUCAAUAACAGCAUGAGUAAAGGACAACUACGUUUCCUGCACUUGGUAAAUAGAUCACCAUUCAAUAAAACAUAAACUGUUACCAUUAUUUACAGUAUUCACAGCAGUACAACUGCUCUUGCCUUCUCUCUCCUUUGUGUACUAAGAAAGUAGUGAGCAGAGGGACACAGCUGAACGCUUCACAGCCAUAAAGCCAUGUGAAUGAGUUAGAGGCAUUCCCAUGCUCUACUGAUCUCUGCCGUUACCAAAGGGAUGACGUCACGGGACUUUCCAUCACAGCCACUAGUCCAUAUUAGAUUACAUGGGUUCAGUUCUCAGAGUAACAGCAUAAUUCUCAAGUUGGGAACCUGGCCGGAGGCAUAGUUACUAGCAUUCAGUUCUGAAUCUGGUGUAGAGGGCGGAGGCUGGUAAACAGUGACUUCUUUGAGGAAAAGAAGAGAGCUUCAAUGUCUGUUCUCUGAUAUCUCUUUCUCUUGUUAGUUAUUUUUACUGUUUUAUGUUUGGUUUUUCAUCAAUCUCUCUGUAUCACCCCUCUGUCACUGGUUACACAUCCCAAAGGGAAACCCCCCCCAUCUCCGGGGAACAGAGUCAUGUCAGGGAGUCACGUUGUUGCUGUAUAUGCACUGUACUGUUGAAUUCAAUGUGUUUUUUUUGUAUUUACUGCUAAUCCUUCUUGGCCAGGUCUCCCUUUUCUGGCCUCAAUGGGUCUUCCUAGUUAAAUAAAGGUUAAA